rnacentral:lncRNA from 1 species
GGUCCUUUUCAAGGUCACAUUUUUUUGCAUUCUUGCGCUUUCUGUUGGGGAUUUCACAGCUUGUAACAAACAGCCCAGGGAGGGCACCAAAGUGCCCUCUGGUUCAGAGGCUGCGCUGUACCUUCUGGAGGAAAAGCGUGUGCCGGAGAAGCUUCGGUCAGAUGUGAGUCACGCAGUGAGUUCAAAGAAGGAGCCCACGCCCACGUGCAGCCAGGUGGACUUAGAUAGGAAGCCUGAGCAGACGUUGAGCUUUGAUUAGUGUCAGGCCAGGGCUCGCAGGCACCUAUUUUUCUGGAGAGCGAUGGUUCAGGGCUCACCCAUGUGGGGCCUGCAUCACCUUACAACAUAACUGCUGCAGAUCACGGGAAGCAACCCUGUGUGUUGCACAUUUUUCUCUCAGAGAUGGCCUGCCUGUUUUUUGAGGGGUGGUUCUGGGAACCACGGAGGUGGUGCUUAACCACGGAGCCACAUCCCCAGCCCUUUUGUAUAUUUUAUUUAGAGACGGGGGUUUCUUUGCUAAAUUGCUUAGCUCCUCGCUAAGUGGCUGAGGCUAGCUUUGAACUCGCGAUCCUCCUGCCUCAGCCUCCCUAGUCGCUGGGAUUGCAGGUGUGUGUCACCGCGCCUGGACUGUUCAUUUUCUUAAUGGUGCAUUUUGGUGGACAGUAGUUCAGAUUUUGAUGAAAGCUAACUUACCUUUAUUUCAUUUAUUUAUUUUUAUGUGGUGCUGAGGAUGGAACCCAGGGUCUUGCACAUACAAGGCCAGCGCUCUGUUGCUGAGCCACAACCCCAGCCCCUUUAACUUUUAUUUUGGGUCCACAAUCCCUCCCCCAUUCUUCUCCACAUGGAGGUGAGGCGGGGGUCAAAGUUCUUUUUUUCCUACUGAUAAACCCACAUUGAAACGAUUCUAUCAUUUCACCUGAGCGUAGCCCAGUGUGUAUCUGCCUUGGUUUCAGCUGCCAUAACAAAAUGUCACAGACUGGGUGUUUUAAACAACAGAAAUUUAUUUAUCACAGUUCUUGAGCCUAGAAGUCCAACAUCAAGGUGUCUGGUGUGGACCGGUUUCCUGGUUUACAGAUGGUGCCUCUUGCUGUGUCCUCACUUGGCAAAGGGUAGAGAACUAGUGAGAUCACUCUCCCUCUCUCUCUCUCUCCCUCUCUCUCUCUUAAUAAAGGGCGUUAAUCUCACUAAUAAGGGCUCCACCUGUGUGACCUGGUCACCUCACAAUGUGUCCACCUCCUAAUACCAUAGGGUUUUGACACCUGAUCGUCAUUGCACUUCAGUGCACUAACAUGCAUAACAUGACACUCUGCAGAUGCAGCACCUAUUCAAAGCCUUCUGUGACCACGGCCUCCCCUCAGCAGAGCCUCGCUCGGGCCUCUCCUAUGAACCAACUUCAUAGACCACCAAGGCUUAGGGGGAAAGAGUCAGGCUGGACACAUCCUUCAAACCACAGGCAGCUGCCCGGCAGGUUUUCUCUGCGUUGGCUCUUCUGACCCUUCACUGGUUUUUGGAGUAAAUUCCAUGAGAAGUAAGUGUCAGUCAAAGCGUUAUUUAACUCACAGCAUCAGCUAUUCAGAGUUUAGAGUCAGGAGGCAGCCCUUUUUCUAGAUAUUUACACUUUUCUAAGAUUCAUGUUGUUGGAAUCAUCUUGUGAACACAUCCACCGAUUGUUGUUUAUCUCCUGCUGCGUGCCAGGGACCAAUUCUGGUGCUUAAACGGGUGAGGCACCUGUCAUCCUAGCUCCUAUUCUUGUUGGGCUGAGACACACUAAGCAAUUUAUUAUUUCAUUAUUCAAGUGACAGUGAUGCUAUCAUCCAAAAAGAGCUUCGAAAGGGAGGUCCAGGGAGCCAUCAGGUUGUUCUGCAAGGGGACUUGACCUUAUUUGAAAGGCAGGGAAAUUUCUGUGCCUUUAAAUUCUGAAUUCCAAAGGGAGAGAGGGAUUAUCUAGAUGAGGUGUACAUUGGGUUAAGAGGCACAGAGGGGACUCCAGGUGGAGCGAGUGGUAUGUGCAAAGGCCCUGAGGUGGAAGGAACUCUGGAACACUGGGAUUGGAGCUAUGGAAGGAUGAGGGAUGGGGGAAGACCUCAUGGGUAGGUGAGGCUGGAAGGCAGCUAGGCAUGAAGGUUAGUCACAGUCUUGCUUUGCCUUUAAAUGCAGCAGGAUCUAACAGAACAUUCUGCAUUGGGACAAAAUUCUCUGUCUUUAGUGUUUAUCAAGGUGGCAGCAGCCCCACAUAGUACGGAGCCCACCGUCUGUGGCUCCUGUGAUGGAGGAACUGAAGUUUAAAUUUCAGCAAAGUAAAAUUUAAAUAGCACCUAGAACUUGUGGCCACCAAAUUGAACAGUCUAACUAGAGCAAUGACCAACCAUCGAGAGCUCAGAGCAGGGAGAUGGUGCCGUCAGAACCGCACUGGGCUUCCCUAUUUGCUGCCCACUCUGGCUCCAGUGUGGACCUUGCAGGGACCAGUGGACACAUCUCCAGGGUUAGUUGAGGAAUCCAUGAGGGCUUACUGACCUCAGGUGCACGGUGCAGUGAGAAGUCAUGGGCUGGUUUAGCAGGUGUUUGGCAGUUAGAGUAGCUGUGGUCUCUGAUGGUGCACAGGAGGGGGGACAGGCUAGGAGAGUCCCUGUCCCCUUUCAGAGAGGACGCUCAGGUCCCCAGCAGAGUAGACUUCCCAAGUGCACAGCUUCUGGGCUCCAAGGAAAGGACUGAGCUGCUGGAAUUUCUAAGAAAGUCAAGAGGAAGCUCAGUUACAUGAGGUAUCAAUAGAAAAAUGCACGCAGACAUUUUUUUUUAAAAAGUUCCCAGUAAAACCCUGACUUUCUUUCUCUCCCCUGAUUCCUGUUCAGCACUGGCAAUCUGCUCACGUAGCUGGAAUAACAUGAAUGGUCUUACUUGAUACUCUUAAACAUCAGCCCCAAACCCUCGGCUUGCUGAUGGACGUGUUUCCGUAUAUUGAAUGGUGCUCAGAAGUGUGACCUCAGGACUUUCCGGUUCCUGGGUGUGACGCUCUCCGUGUGUCUGCCCACCUCUCUGCUGUGACUCCAAGCUUCACAUUCUCACGCCCAGCCAGGCCACAGUCCAGAGUCAGCUCGCAGACCUGGGACCUAGAACCAUGGAAACCACAGCUUUCCACGGAGGGAUGUGGGGCCUGGGGAGUUCAACCAAAGAAAUAACUGAAAGAAGAAAAACAGGCGCAGGAAAAUACUUAUUGUGGCAUUAUCAGGAACAGGGGAAGCCAGGUCACAUGGCUGGCGUGUCCCACAAUGGGGGAGAGCAGGCAAAGGGGUCAUGUUGAAGGCCACGCAGUCACAUAGCAAAACGCC